rnacentral:lncRNA from 1 species
CUGCCCUAGAGCCCAGGCCUCGGCCCUCUGGGCAGGCUGCAGCUCCUCGGGGCUGGGUGUUCCCCAGCAGGGAGGCAGGGCUCCGGCCACAUGUGUCCUGCUCGCUCCGAGGUCUGUCCUGGGCCCUCACAUCAUCUAGCUUUUCUUCCCGGCUCCACCCCCGGGAGAUAUGUGUGGGGUCACUUCCAAGCCCACCAGUUUUUUUUUUUUUCCAAUUUUAUCUUUUUUUAACACCAAGAAGCAUUUUGUAUUGGGAUGUAGCCACUUAACACUGUUGUGAUAAUUUCAGGUGGACGGUGAAGGGACUCAUGUAUCCAUCCUUCCCCAAACCCCGCUUCUGAUCAGGCUGGCACACAACGUGAGCGGAGCUCUCUGUGCUGCCCAGUAGGUCUUUGUUGGUUAUCCAUUUUAGAGAUAGCGGUGUGCACGUGACCUUCCCAAAGUCCUUAACUAGCCCUUCUCCCCCACGCCCACUGGUUCUUGAAGGCUGUCACCUGUGCCUGCUGGGUCUGUAUGAGAACACUCAGGUCCUGCGGCUUUGAUAACUUUCGAAGUCCUUCCCUGAGGCUGCUCAGCUGGCUCAGGAGCAGACAGAGACGCAGAACACGGUGGAGCCGUCCUCACCCCCAGGCCUUCUCACCGAAACCUCAGAACGACACCCAGGAGACCCUCCUCUUGUCCCAGCAGGGGGACUGAGGCCUCCCCAGUCUCCAGCCUGGGAGCCACUCACCACCCACAGGGCCCACUUAUGUCUGAAUUGAUUAAAAUCAGGUGAAAAAUUCAGUCACACAGACCGAGGUACUGAGCCCUUUACCGCGGAAAGUUUCAGGGGGCGGCUGCUUGUGGUUCAGAAAGUUGGUCACAGGCAGGAGUCUAGAGCUACUCAGGAGGGGAGCCACCUCGGGCCCUGCCCCAGGCCCUGUUACUGCAGAGGGGCCACCUGGGGGCUGCUGGGCUGACCAUGAGCAUUCUCACCCACCUCUCGACCAGCAAGCGGCUUUGUCCCGGAGGCCCGCGUCGUCGGGAGCAGAGCCAUUCCCCCACAGUGGCCCUGGCAGGUCAGCCUGAGAGAGCAGGGCCGCCACGUCUGCGGGGGCAGCCUCAUCAGCCUCCGGUGGCUGCUGCCCGCCGCCCACUGCGUCUGCAGGGGACCCCGUCCUGACCCGUCUCAGGUCAAUGUCUUACCUGCCAGAGGGCUCAGCUCAGCUGUCCUCA